CUACUGAUAUCGUAAGGUAUUGGGAUGGGGUGGCAGAAGUCAGCAGAAGCCAUAGUCGUUACCGUAACUGGGUAACGAAGGGC
rfam:Magnetococcus sp. MC-1, complete genome.